UAUCGGGGUAUGAGUGUUUCAGAAUGAGCUCAGUGGCGAAUAGUCUCAAGUUUCUCAAAAGCCAUCCAGCAUUCCAUGGACCAUUUGAGGGGAUUUUUGAAGCAUUGCCUCAGGGAGAUCAUGAAUUGGUUGAAAUCAUGCAGCUCCUCGGUGUCAGCAUCAUGGAGCGAAAUCACCCAGUCAGCCUCUUCUCCGUCCAGAAUCACAGUGAUGCAAUUCACCUUGGCUUCGUCAUUUGAGUAGUUUGGUCCAUGGUGCACCAUGAAAUUCAAAACCUGGCCUGACUCAUCUUCUGUAUUAAGAUGAAGAAGGAAAAUAGAUGCAGUCCUUUAAACCAGUUGGGAAGAGGGUCCACUAAUAAAGACUUGCUGCCUU